GCUUGAGAGAACUCAGGAGAAGGAACUCGGCAAAUUGACACCGUAACUUCGGGAGAAGGUGUGCCUUUAGUAGGUGAACCAUUUACUUGGCGAGCCCAAUGAGGUUGCAAAAAAUCGGUGGCUGCGACUGUUUAUUAAAAACACAGCACUCUGCAAACACGAAAGUGGACGUAUAGGGUGUGACGCCUGCCCGGUGCUGGAAGAUUAAAUGAUGGGGUGCAAGCUCUUGAUUGAAGUCCCAGUAAACGGCGGCCGUAACUAUAACGGUCCUAAGGUAGCGAAAUUCCUUGUCGGGUAAGUUCCGACCUGCACGAAUGGCGUAACGAUGGCCACACUGUCUCCUCCUGAGACUCAGCGAAGUUGAAAUGUUUGUGAUGAUGCAAUCUCCCCGCGGAAAGACGGAAAGACCCCAUGAACCUUUACUGUAGCUUUGUAUUGGACUUUGAACAGAUCUGUGUAGGAUAGGUGGGAGGCUUUGAAGCAGGGUCGCUAGAUCUUGUGGAGCCAACGUUGAAAUACCACCCUGGUGUGUUUGAGGUUCUAACCUAGGUCCAUUAUCUGGAUCGGGGACAGUGCAUGGUAGGCGGUUUGACUGGGGCGGUCUCCUCCCAAAGCGUAACGGAGGAGUUCGAAGGUACGCUAGUUACGGUCGGACAUCGUGACGAUAGUGCAAUGGCAUAAGCGUGCUUAACUGCGAGACUGACAAGUCGAGCAGAUGCGAAAGCAGGACAUAGUGAUCCGGUGGUUCUGUAUGGAAGGGCCAUCGCUCAACGGAUAAAAGGUACUCUGGGGAUAACAGGCUGAUACCGCCCAAGAGUUCAUAUCGACGGCGGUGUUUGGCACCUCGAUGUCGGCUCAUCUCAUCCUGGGGCUGUAGCCGGUCCCAAGGGUAUGGCUGUUCGCCAUUUAAAGAGGUACGUGAGCUGGGUUUAAAACGUCGUGAGACAGUUUGGUCCCUAUCUUCCGUGGGCGCUGCAGAUUUGAGGAAGCCUGCUCCUAGUACGAGAGGACCGGAGUGGACAUACCUCUGGUGUAUCGGUUGUCACGCCAGUGGCAUUGCCGAGUAGCUAAGUAUGGAAGAGAUAAACGCUGAAAGCAUCUAAGCGUGAAACUCGUUUCAAGAUGAGAUCUGCCGGGGCCUUGAGCCCCCUAAAGAGUCGUUCAAGACCAGGACGUUGAUAGGUCAGGUGUGGAAGCGCAGUAAUGCGUUAAGCUAACUGAUACUAAUUGCUCGUGCGGCUUGACCCC
rnacentral:rRNA from 1 species